rnacentral:rRNA from 1 species
GAUUAAGUUAUUAAGGGCGCACGGUGGAUGCCUUGGCACUAGAAGCCGACGAAGGACGUUACUAACGACGAUAUGCUUUGGGUAGCUGUAAGUAAGCGUUGAUCCAGAGAUUUCCGAAUGGGGGAACCCAGCACGAGUUAUGUCGUGUUAUCGACAAGUGAAUUCAUAGCUUGUCAGAAGGCAGACCCGGAGAACUGAAACAUCUUAGUACCCGGAGGAAGAGAAAGAAAAAUCGAUUCCCUGAGUAGCGGCGAGCGAAACGGGAAGAGCCCAAACCAAUAAGCUUGCUUAUUGGGGUUGUAGGACACUCUAUACGGAGUUACAAAGGAAUAUAUUAGACGAAUCAUCUGGAAAGUUGAAUCAAAGAAGGUAAUAAUCCUGUAGUUGAAAAUAUAUUCUCUCUUGAGUGGAUCCUGAGUACGACGGAGCACGUGAAAUUCCGUCGGAAUCUGGGAGGACCAUCUCCUAAGGCUAAAUACUCUCUAGUGACCGAUAGUGAACCAGUACCGUGAGGGAAAGGUGAAAAGUACCCCGGAAGGGGAGUGAAAGAGAACUUGAAACCGUGUGCUUACAAGUAGUCAGAGCCCGUUAAUGGGUGAUGGCGUGCCUUUUGUAGAAUGAACCGGCGAGUUACGAUCUGAUGCAAGGUUAAGCAGGAGAUGUGGAGCCGUAGCGAAAGCGAGUCUGAAUAGGGCGUUGAGUAUUUGGUCGUAGACCCGAAACCAGGUGAUCUACCCAUGGUCAGGUUGAAGUUCAGGUAACACUGAAUGGAGGACCGAACCGACUUACGUUGAAAAGUGAGCGGAUGAACUGUGGGUAGCGGAGAAAUUCCAAUCGAACUUGGAGAUAGCUGGUUCUCUCCGAAAUAGCUUUAGGGCUAGCCUCAAGUGAUGAUUAUUGGAGGUAGAGCACUGUUUGGACGAGGGGCCCCUCUCGGGUUACCGAAUUCAGACAAACUCCGAAUGCCAAUUAAUUUAACUUGGGAGUCAGAACAUGGGUGAUAAGGUCCGUGUUCGAAAGGGAAACAGCCCAGACCACCAGCUAAGGUCCCAAAAUAUAUGUUAAGUGGAAAAGGAUGUGGCGUUGCCCAGACAACUAGGAUGUUGGCUUAGAAGCAGCCAUCAUUUAAAGAGUGCGUAAUAGCUCACUAGUCGAGUGACACUGCGCCGAAAAUGUACCGGGGCUAAACAUAUUACCGAAGCUGUGGAUUGUCCGUAGGACAAUGGUAGGAGAGCGUUCUAAGGGCGUUGAAGCAUGAUCGCAAGGACAUGUGGAGCGCUUAGAAGUGAGAAUGCCGGUGUGAGUAGCGAAAGACGGGUGAGAAUCCCGUCCACCGAUUGACUAAGGUUUCCAGAGGAAGGCUCGUCCGCUCUGGGUUAGUCGGGUCCUAAGCUGAGGCCGACAGGCGUAGGCGAUGGAUAACAGGUUGAUAUUCCUGUACCACCUAGCAUCGUUUUAAUCGAUGGGGGGACGCAGUAGGAUAGGCGAAGCGUACGAUUGGAUUGUACGUC